rnacentral:rRNA from 1 species
UACGUAGGGUGCAAGCGUUAAUCGGAAUUACUGGGCGUAAAGCGUGCGCAGGCGGCUUUGCAGGACAGAUGUGAAAUCCCCGGGCUUAACCUGGGAACUGCAUUUGAUACUCUAGAGCUUGAGUACGGGAGAGGAGAGUGGAAUUCCCAGUGUAGAGGUGAAAUUCGUAGAUAUUGGGAAGAACACCGGUGGCGAAGGCGGCUCUCUGGACCGUAACUGACGCUGAGGCGCGAAAGCGUGGGGAGCAAACAGG